rnacentral:rRNA from 1 species
UCCAGGCCCUACGGGGUGCAGCAGCAGUGAAUCUUUUACAAUGCGCGAAAGCGUGAUAGAGCGAGCCAAAGUGCUUAACUUUUUGUUAAGCUUUUAUCAGGUGUAAACAUACUGAUGAAUAAGGACUGGGAAAGACCGGUGCCAGCCGCCGCGGUAAUACCGGCAGUUCUAGUUGCAACCAACAUUAUUGGGUCUAAAACAUCCGUAGCUUGUUUCGUAAGUUUCUCGUGAAAUUUCAUAUCUCAAGUAUGAAGCGUGCGAGAAAUACUGCGAGGCUAGAGAUCGGUAGGUGUAAGAAGUACGCGAGAGGUAGUGGUAAAAUACGUUAAUCUUUCGUGGACUCACAAUUAGCGAAGGCAUCUUACAAGGACGAAUCUGACAGUGAGGGAUGAAGGCCAGGGGCGCAAAACGGAUUAGAUACCCGUGUAGUCCUGGCAGUAAACACUGUUCACUAAACAUUGGGGCCUCUUCGGGAGGUUUCAGUGCUGAAGCGAAGGCGUAGAGUGAACUACCUGGGAAGUAUAGUCGCAAGAUCGAAACUUAAAGGAAUUGGCGGGGAGACACUACAACGAGUGACGCGUGCGGUUCAAUUAGAUUUUACACCGUGAACCUCACCAGGAGCGACAGCAGAAUGAAGGUCAGUCUAAAGGGCUUACCUGACGCGCUGAGCGGAGAUGCAUGGCCGACGUCAGCCUGUGUUGUGAAAUGACCUGUCAAAUCAGGUAACAGGCGAGACCCGUGUGUAUAAUUACUACCGGAAGGAGAACAUUAUACAGACUGCCUUGGUAACAAGGAGGAAGGUGCGGGCUACGUUAGGUGAGUACGUCCCUAAUCCCCUGGGCUACACGCGCGCGGCAAUGGUAGAUUCAAUGAGAUGCGACUCCGAAAGGAGAAGCUAAUCCCCUAAUGUCUAUCUCAGUUCAGAUUGAGGCUUGCAACCCAGCCUCAUGACGUUGGAAUUCGUAGUAAUCGGAUGUUAGCAGCGUCCGGUGAAUAUGUCCCUGUCUCUUGCACACACCGCCCGUC